rnacentral:rRNA from 1 species
CCGAUUAGUGGCGAACGGGUGAGUAACACGUGAGUAACCUGCCCUACACUCUGGGAUAAGCCCGGGAAACUGGGUCUAAUACCGGAUAUGCACCGUACGCCGCAUGGUUUUUGGUGGAAAGAUUUAUCGGUCUGGGAUGGACUCGCGGCCUAUCAGCUUGGUGGUGAGGUAAUGGCUCACCAAGGCGACGACUGGUAGCCGGCCUGAGAGGGUGACCGGCCACACUGGGACUGAGACACGGCCCAUACUCCUACGGGAGGCAGCAGUGGGGAAUAUUGCACAAUGGGCGAAAGCCUGAUGCAGCGACGCCGCGUGAGGGAUGACGGCCUUCCGGUUGUAAACCUCUUUCACUAGGGAAGAAGCGAAAGUGACGGUACCUGCAGAAGAAGCGCCGGCUAACUACGUGCCAGCAGCCGCGGUAAUACGUAGGGCGCAAGCGUUAUCCGGAAUUAUUGGGCGUAAAGAGCUCGUAGGCGGUUUGUCGCGUCUGCCGUGAAAGUCCGGGGCUCGCCCCGGAUCUGCGGUGGGUACGGGCAGACUACAGUGAUGUAGGGGAGACUGGAAUUCCUGGUGUACGGUGAAAUGCGCAAUAUCAGGAGGAACACCGAUGGCGAAGGCAGUCUCUGGUCAUUAAUGACGCUGAAGAAGAAAGCAUGAGGAGCGAACAGGAUUAAAUACCUGGUAGUCCAUGCCGUAACGUUGGGACUAGUGUGGGGACUUCCACGUUUCCGCGCGUACUACUCAUUAUUGCCCGCUGGGAUACGCCGCAGGCUAAACUCAAGGAUUGACGGGGCCCAAC